rnacentral:rRNA from 1 species
UACGAAGGGGGCUAGCGUUGCUCGGAAUCACUGGGCGUAAAGGGUGCGUAGGCGGGUCUUUAAGUCAGGGGUGAAAUCCUGGAGCUCAACUCCAGAACUGCCUUUGAUACUGAGAGUCUCGAGUCCGAGAGAGGUGAGUGGAACUGCGAGUGUAGAGGUGAAAUUCGUAGAUAUUCGCAAGAACACCAGUGGCGAAGGCGGCUCACUGGCUCGGUACUGACGCUGAGGUGCGAAAGCGUGGGGAGCAAACAGG